UCCUGUUGUCCCAUCCUCUCAGUCUUUUCAGAAGAAGAAAAGACCCAGAAAGACCCAGAAGCACCUCUCCAGCUGCCUCUCCUCCCACUCCGUCAUCUGUCUCCUCCCAUAGAUCAGCCACAUCUGCAUUCAUGUCACCUGCUGACCAUGCCGUCUCCUUAAGUCAGGGUGGCGUUGGUGGAAAUGUAGUACCCAAAAUCAAUCCCUGGGCGUAGAACUAAUGCGCGGAAAAAUCUGGGAUGAUACCUGGGAACCUGCAAGUAAAUCCUCUCAUGUUGCUGUCCACCAAGUGCCACUUCCUUCAGACAGCGAACAAGUCCUUCCAUGAUGUUACUUUUUCUUUUUUGUAUUACAAAGUAUUAAUUUCUUUUCUUUUUUUUUUUACUGCAGUUUGACCAUUUUACGAAGUUCUCUGUGUAAUAUUGUUUUCGGCCAUUCACUGAAAUGAAUGUUAUGGUUAUAAUAUAGUAGUUAUGUAAGCUUAUGUUGGGCUGUUUACUGACACAUUUUUGUCAAGUUCUGUUAAAGACGAAGUGAGGCUGAUUGAGUCACUGCAUCAGGCAGGUAUUGUGCCUGUAUUAAGUCUUGAAAUUUAGAACAGAAUUGUUUGUAGAUUUUGUUCAGUAAAUAUGACCUAAAGUCUUAAAAACUUUAAACAUGGUAUUGUACACAUUUCUUUUUGAGUGUUUUGAUGCGGAUGUACAAAGUAAAGUCUAUAAAAAUACAUAACAAAAUAAGCACAACUUGAUUUUCUCUACAAUUGAGCACUGUAGCCCGACUAAAUCUGCUCUGGUGGGAAAAGAAUGAUUUGCCUGAUGCUGUCUCAGGCCUCUGUGGUUUAUUUCAUAAUUUCAUCAGCCUGCAGAGAAAAGGCAUAAAGAGAAUCUAAGUUAAGUUGUGUCCAUCUAAUUAUUGUAGUUGAAAUAGAGGUUUCCCCCUUUUGGUUUGUAAAUGUAUCCAAAUACCAAGUUAAUGUACAUUUCAUUAAGAUUAUUUCACUAAGUUGGGACCCUUUGUUUUAAAAAAGAAGUUAUGUCCAAAUCUGAAGCAUUUCAACUAAAUGACACCGACAGCAAGUUUUUCUACCAAACCUUAGUUGGCUUCCUUUUUCAUCUGUCAACUGUUGAACAUAGACAUGCUUGAAUAAUGCUAGGUCUAUGUAGGCAAUUAUAAUUCAUUUUCAUAAGUCCUUAAAAAGUACCUAAAAGCUGAACAACUUAUUUCUCCUGACAAUUUCUUGAAAUCACUUCUUGUUCUUCUAACAUUGUAAUAUCCUUCAUUACUGACUUGUCAUCAGCUGAUGGAUACAGAACAUGUCCUGAAGAGUCCACUAAAUUAGAUGCUGUUUUGUUUAUAAAAUCAUGCCUUUGUGAUUUUUGUAUAAAUGCAUGUCAUUAAACAAAAUCAUACCUGAACACUGCAUUAAAAAAUCACUUUGACAAGUACUCAAACUUUAUUUUACUUAAGACAUUGACAGACAAACUGAACCGCAUUCAAUUGACCAAGGAUAAGAAAUUGUUCCACCAGUACACACUUUGUGUAUUCUUUGGAUUAAGAAAUAAGUCAGAGCUGCACAUAUUAAUAAAAAAAGAAAAGUAGAAGAUCCAAAAAGAUGUCUUGGUUAUGUUAGAUACUACAGAAUCACUGGGACUGCUUAACGUAGCAUUGUAGCCAUUUAACUGCUCAACAUAAGCACAAGUGUUAUUAUUCCACUUGAAGUAAAAAUAGUAAAGUAUUAAAUUAACUACAAUUUCUCUUAUUAUUACAUAGAAAAUACACUAGAUGUGCAGAAACUUAAGUGAAAAAGAGAUACACUCAAUGACAUGACUGUGGAAGUAAUUACAGCUCUAGUAAGCCCUUCUAGAAAGUACAAAGGCACAAACAAAUUAACUCUUAAAAAAAGAAUCAACAAGAUAAAACACUGCCCAUUUG